rnacentral:rRNA from 1 species
AUUGAACGCUGGCGGCAGGCCUAACACAUGCAAGUCGAACGGUAACAGGAAACAGCUUGCUGUUUCGCUGACGAGUGGCGGACGGGUGAGUAAUGUCUGGGAAACUGCCUGAUGGAGGGGGAUAACUACUGGAAACGGUAGCUAAUACCGCAUGACGUCGCAAGACCAAAGAGGGGGACCCUCGGGCCUCUUGCCAUCGGAUGUGCCCAGAUGGGAUUAGCUUGUUGGUGGGGUAACGGCUCACCAAGGCGACGAUCCCUAGCUGGUCUGAGAGGAUGACCAGCCACACUGGAACUGAGACACGGUCCAGACUCCUACGGGAGGCAGCAGUGGGGAAUAUUGCACAAUGGGCGCAAGCCUGAUGCAGCCAUGCCGCGUGUAUGAAGAAGGCCUUCGGGUUGUAAAGUACUUUCAGCGGGGAGGAAGGGAGUAAAGUUAAUACCUUUGCUCAUUGACGUUACCCGCAGAAGAAGCACCGGCUAACUCCGUGCCAGCAGCCGCGGUAAUACGGAGGGUGCAAGCGUUAAUCGGAAUUACUGGGCGUAAAGCGCACGCAGGCGGUUUGUUAAGUCAGAUGUGAAAUCCCCGGGCUCAACCUGGGAACUGCAUCUGAUACUGGCAAGCUUGAGUCUCGUAGAGGGGGGUAGAAUUCCAGGUGUAGCGGUGAAAUGCGUAGAGAUCUGGAGGAAUACCGGUGGCGAAGGCGGCCCCCUGGACGAAGACUGACGCUCAGGUGCGAAAGCGUGGGGAGCAAACAGGAUUAGAUACCCUGGUAGUCCACGCCGUAAACGAUGUCGACUUGGAGGUUGUGCCCUUGAGGCGUGGCUUCCGGAGCUAACGCGUUAAGUCGACCGCCUGGGGAGUACGGCCGCAAGGUUAAAACUCAAAUGAAUUGACGGGGGCCCGCACAAGCGGUGGAGCAUGUGGUUUAAUUCGAUGCAACGCGAAGAACCUUACCUGGUCUUGACAUCCACGGAAGUUUUCAGAGAUGAGAAUGUGCCUUCGGGAACCGUGAGACAGGUGCUGCAUGGCUGUCGUCAGCUCGUGUUGUGAAAUGUUGGGUUAAGUCCCGCAACGAGCGCAACCCUUAUCCUUUGUUGCCAGCGGUCCGGCCGGGAACUCAAAGGAGACUGCCAGUGAUAAACUGGAGGAAGGUGGGGAUGACGUCAAGUCAUCAUGGCCCUUACGACCAGGGCUACACACGUGCUACAAUGGCGUAUACAAAGAGAAGCGACCUCGCGAGAGCAAGCGGACCUCAUAAAGUGCGUCGUAGUCCGGAUUGGAGUCUGCAACUCGACUCCAUGAAGUCGGAAUCGCUAGUAAUCGUGGAUCAGAAUGCCACGGUGAAUACGUUCCCGGGCCU